GCAAUUAGCAUUUAUAAACACUCCAGGGUAAGUGGGAGGAAGAAGGAGGAGGCGCAAUUCAUAAGAUUCGUAGGCUGGAGGUGUGGGAAGGAGGGAAGUCAAAUGAAGACAAUAUAAUGUUCCAUCUCCAUCUCAAAAGUGCUGACUGUGAACCACUAAUUUCCUUUCUCCCACAACUGCAGGCUAUUAAUUGCACCCCCUUGAAAAAUGAAAAAUUGCCAGUGAACUGGAAAAAAAAUGCUCCCCUGACAAAAUGGUGUCAAAAAACAGCUUGAAGCAAGUGAAACUUCGGUGACUGCACCGAUCCGCCUGUCGAUCUCCUGUUCCAUUCUUCCCUCACUCGUGAACAAGACGCCUUGGGGCAGGGUCUCAUCCCCGAUCUGGAGAGGGCACUUCACCCUUUUCCGACUGAGGACCAUGGGCUCAGAUUUGGAGGUGCUGAUUUUCAUCCCAGCCACUUCACACUCUGCUGCGAACCGCUCCAGUGAGUGUUGGAGAUCACGACUUGAUGAAGCCAACAGAACCACAUCAUCUGCAAAAAGCAGAUACUUCGACGACCAAACCGGACCCCCUCUACGCCUCGAUUGCGCCUUGAAAUUCUGUCCAUAAAAGUAAUGAUCAGAAUCGGUGACAAAGGGAAGCCAUGGCAGAGUCCAACCCUCACCGGAAACGAGUCCAACUUACUACCAGCAAUGUGGACCAAACUCUGACACUGGUCAUACAGGGACCAAACUGCCCGUAUCAGGGGGUUCGGUACCACAUACUCCCAUGCAUCACCAAGGACCCUGCCGAGAGUGUAGAGCUGGUCCACUGUUCCACAGCCAGGACGAAAAGCACACUGCUCCUCCUGAAUCUGAGAUUCGACUUCCCGGCGGACCCUCCUCUCCAGCACCCUUGAAUAGACCUUACCAGGGUGGCUGAGGAGUGUGAUCCUCCUGUAGUUGGAACACACCCCCCAGUACCCUGUCUUAUAAAGGGGGACCACCACCCCAGUCUGCCAAUUCAGAGGCACUGUCCCCGAUGUCCAUGCAAUGUUGCAGAGGCGUGUCAACCAGGACAGCCCCAAACGUUCAGACGUUCCCAGAAGACCCUCACAAUAUGUUUGGGCCUGCCAGGUCGGAUCGGCAUCUUCGCCCACCAUCGGCGCCAACUCGCCACCAAGUGCUGAUCAGUUGACAGCUCCGCCCCUCUCUUUCCCCGAGUGUCCAAGACAUGCGGCCGCAAGUCCGAUGACACAACCACAAAGUCGAUCAUCGAACUGCAACCUAGGGUCUCCUGGUACAAAGUGCACGUGUGGACACACUUAUGCUUGAACAUGGUGUUCGUUAUGGACAAUCCAUCAUGAGCACAGAAAUCCAAUAACAGAACACCACUCGGGUUGUGAUCAGGGGGCAUUCCUCCCAAUCAGGCCCUUUCAGGUCUCACUGACAUUGCCCACGUGAGCAUUGGAGUACCCCUGCAGAACGAUGGAGUCCGCAGCGGGUGCGCUCUUCAGCACCCCCUCCAAGGACUCCAAAUAAGCAGCUACGUUCAGCGGACAUGGAAAGGUCUUCUUCCCAUUUGGUUAUUGUGCAGUGUCAGCAGUGGACUCGGCCCACCUGACUGAGAUUUCCUGUGGUGGUGCUCAGCUUGUACAGCGCCCAGCCCGGUACCAGCAGGAUGGAGGAGAGAACCAUCAUCCAGCCCAACAAGUAGGCCCAGUGAGACUCAAGAGGAUUUCAAGUUUACCUGACUCAGCCACAUCUGCGAUAGUAACGCCAUGCUCAUGAGCCAUGAAUCCCAGCACCGAGAAGACAGCAAAGCCAGCUACCACACUGGUGCAACUGUUGAGCAAACACAGCCAAAAGCAGUCCCUGCAACACACAAACAAGUAUUUUCUGAGCAAUGGGUUCCAAUUAUUGAAAGGCUGUAGCUCUUCGCAACAGUUGGAAUGAGUGCAAUGUCAGCUAGUGGCAUAUGCUGACCAAAGCCCUCCUUAAAUUUGUCCAAAGGGACCAUUUGUAACCCAGAUAAUUACACAAGUAGAAUUUGGACUAUAACAUUCUGGGAAGCGUUACAUUUAUUCGAGUAACAUAUUGGUAGUACUGUGUUGUGACGCUUACUUGUAGCAAUUGUUGCUGUGGGUGUUGUAGCUACCCAGUACAGCCAGGGUGCCCACACCGAUGCUGUAUGAGAAGAAGAGCUGCGAGAUGGCGUCCAUCCACACCUGUGUAAAAAGACACCUGCUGUCAUUAGUACGUUUGCCUUCCAUCACAAUGCACGCAACACAUUCCUACUUGAGAGUCUGUGAGUCGCGACAGCUCGGGCAGAAGGUAGAACUCCACUCCUUGUCUGGCUCCCGGAAGAGUGAGUCCCCGGAUCAAAAGGACGAGGAGCAUCACUUGGUGCUGUUUAAUGGACUUCACCUUUCCAGUUGAUUUGACCCCUUUCCAGAUGCAGAAGUAACAAAUGACCCACACAGCCAGGAGGCACAGAAGCACCUCCCACCUGAUGCUGCCAAUCUCCUCAAUACCUCCAGAGAUUUUCAACACUCGACGUCUGGAAAGGAAUUCUGUUGCUGCUGAGGUUCCUUUGCUGUGGUUCCUUAUUGUAACAUCGACACAAUCAACUGAAAGAAUAAAAGUAGUUGUCGCAGGUGCUCCAGGGCAGCGUGGAGUUGAAGGAGAACACCAGGUAGAAGAGAGCCCAGGACAGAAUAAUGAUGUAGGUCGUGCAGCUGUACAACAGGAUGAGCUGCCCGCCGUAGCCAAUACCUGACGGACAUCACACAUUUCAGAAUGGCAAGCUUAUACAUGAUGGAUUGUUGCCCACCUUCAGCCAGGGGGCAAAUCUUCCUCCAGCAGCUGAUCCCCCCCUCUUGGGUGUGCUGGCCCAUGCUGGUCUCCAAAAGGAAGAGCGGAACACCACACGUCACCAGAAACACCAGAUAUGGCACCAGGAAUGCACCUGAAUGUUACACAUACUCUAUGUAAACUAACUACAACUGGGAGUGACGAACAGCUUGAAGCAAGUGCGAUUUCCCUCUCAUUCAGAGAAUUGUUCGCGAUCUGUCAAAUUGCACAUAGACAGUGAAAGAAAAAAAGACUACUGCGCCUUUGAACAAGGUACCGUGGCGUCAUGAGCCUCAAUUUCAUUCAUUCAGCACGACUCCUAAUUGCCUCGUUGUCUUAAUUUAAACAUUGUAAAGGUCCUUUUGUUCUUUUUAUGCACACACACUUUUACUUUCAGCUUUGUCUGCACUAC